rnacentral:rRNA from 1 species
UACGGAGGGAGCUAGCGUUGUUCGGAAUUACUGGGCGUAAAGCGCACGUAGGCGGCUUUGUAAGUUAGAGGUGAAAGCCCGGGGCUCAACUCCGGAACUGCCUUUAAGACUGCAUCGCUUGAAUCCGGGAGAGGUGAGUGGAAUUCCGAGUGUAGAGGUGAAAUUCGUAGAUAUUCGGAGGAACACCAGUGGCGAAGGCGGCUCACUGGUCCAUUACUGACGCUGAGGUGCGAAAGCGUGGGGAGCAAACAGG